rnacentral:rRNA from 1 species
UUUUGUGGGGUGCUCGAGUGGCGAACGGGUGAGUAACACGUGAGUAACCUGCCCUUGACUUUGGGGUAACUUCAGGAAACUGGGGCUAAUACCGGAUAGGGGCUCCUGCUGCAUGGUGGGGGUUGGAAAGUUUCGGCGGUUGGGGAUGGACUCGCGGCUUAUCAGCUUGUUGGUGGGGUAGUGGCUUACCAAGGCUUUGACGGGUAGCCGGCCUGAGAGGGUGACCGGCCACAUUGGGACUGAGAUACGGCCCAG